rnacentral:rRNA from 1 species
GAUCCUGGCUCAGAUUGAACGCUGGCGGCAGGCCUAACACAUGCAAGUCGAACGGUAGCAGGAAGAAGCUUGCUUCUUUGCUGACGAGUGGCAGACGGGUGAGUAAUGUCUGGGAAACUGCCUGAUGGAGGGGGAUAACUACUGGAAACGGUAGCUAAUACCGCAUAACGUCGCAAGACCAAAGAGGGGGACCUUCGGGCCUCUUGCCAUCGGAUGUGCCCAGAUGGGAUUAGCUAGUAGGG